rnacentral:rRNA from 1 species
AUUAUCGGAGAGUUUGAUCCUGGCUCAGGACGAACGCUGGCGGCGUGCCUAAUACAUGCAAGUCGAGCGGACAGAUGGGAGCUUGCUCCCUGAUGUUAGCGGCGGACGGGUGAGUAACACGUGGGUAACCUGCCUGUAAGACUGGGAUAACUCCGGGAAACCGGGGCUAAUACCGGAUGCUUGUUUGAACCGCAUGGUUCAAACAUAAAAGGUGGCUUCGGCUACCACUUACAGAUGGACCCGCGGCGCAUUAGCUAGUUGGUGAGGU